ensembl:ncRNA F11D5.8 ncRNA
UUGUAAUCUUAACGGUAUGAAAAUAAGUUUUAAUCAUUUUCGCACUGCCCGUAUUUUAUCUUUUUUUGUAAAAAAUUUAAAAAAAAUUAAUUUCUAACUUUGAAAGCGUAAUUAUUAUACCAAAAUUUACAGUCCCGUAGAUUUUCUGCA